UAUCCUAUGUUUCCUGGUCAUCCUGAUAGCGGUUGGAGUCGGCCUUAUUGUUCAUUUCUCGGAAAACCGAAAGUUCGAGUGUGUAUUACCGGAAAUCAGGUCCGGCGACGCUACAGGGCAGCUCCACGAGCAGAGCACACGGCGGCCGACACAAGAGCACAGCUACAAAUUGUUUUAUUUCGACUGGAAAGGCCGUGGUGAACUAUCUCGAAUGAUUUUCACAGCAGUGGGUCAAACCUUUAUCGACCGUAGGAUAGACUUCUUCAAAGAGUGACCCGUUAUUAAAUACACAAUGCCCCAGUAUGUCGUACCAGUGAUCGAGGUUGACGGACGGACGAACGUCACACAGAGCAUGGCGAUAACUCGCUACCUGGCCAGGCAAUUUGGCAAGAGUCAAGGCGGAGUUCUUCGAGGAUAACUGUCCGAAGUAUCUGCAGUUUCUCGAGAACCUCGUUGCAGUAGGAGGUAGAGACAAUAUCGCAGUCGGCGAUGGGGUA